UGGCUCAGCUGGUAAAGCAUUUGCCUGCAAUGCAGGAGACCUGGGUUCGAUUCCCUG
rnacentral:tRNA from 1 species